UACAAUUGAAUCUUGGGUGGGUAUGGUUUCCCUUCGAAAGGAGGUGAAACCAUGGAAGUGAAACAUGCGAUGACUCUAAUGCUGUUAUUCGGAACAUUCAUUCUUGCACUUUUAACGUACAUCAAUAACAACAAGAGAAAGUAAAAACCCACCCCAAGGUUGACAGCCGAAGGUGGGUUUUUGUCCUAACUUGACUUAAGAAGGGAUUAACCAUCCAAGCCAAUUGUACUGACCAAGUGUUGACGCACUUGGU
rnacentral:sRNA from 1 species